rnacentral:rRNA from 1 species
GAGGUUCGAAGGCGAUCAGAUACCGCCCUAGUUCUAACCAUAAACGAUGCCAGCCAGCGAUCCGGCUGUGUUCCUCAAAUGACACGCCGGGCAGCUUCCGGGAAACCAAAGCUUUUGGGUUCCGGGGGAAGUAUGGUUGCAAAGCUGAAACUUAAAGGAAUUGACGGAAGCGCACCACCAGGAAUGGAGCCUGCGGCUUAAUUUGACUCAACACGGGAAAGCUUACCCGGAUAGGACACAGGAAGGAUUGACAGAUUAAGAGCUCUUUCUUGAUUCUGUGGAAGGUGGUGCAUGGCCAUUCUUAGUUGGUGGAGUGAUUUGUCUGGUUAAUUCCGAUAACGAUCGAGACUCUAGCCUACUAAAUAGACGUUCCGAUUCUUGUUGUCGGACGUUCUUCUUAGAGGGACACGCGGCGUUUAGCCGCACGAGACAGAGCAAUAGUAGGUCUGUGAUGCCCUUAGAUGUCCGGGGCCGCACGCGCGCUACAUUGAAGGAAUCAGCGUGUGCUUUCCCUGUCCGACAGGACUGGGUAACCCGUUGAACCUCCUUCGUGCUUGGGAUAGGCGCUUGUAAUUGUCCGCCUUGAACGAGGAAUUCCCAGUAAGCACGAGUCAUCAGCUCGUGUUGAUUACGUCCCUGCGCUUUGUGCACACCGCCCGUCGCUACAUCCGAUGGAAUGAUUUAGUGAGGUCUUCGGACUGGCGCUCGGAUUGGCCCUCGGGUCGAGCCGAAGUGCCGGAAAGAUGACCGAACUUGAUUAUUUAGAGGAAGUAAAAGUCGUAACAAGGUUACC